ACACCUGAAGAGAGAUUGUCAGUGACUCUAAGUGGCUCGUCUCUGCCUGCACGGCUAACCCAGCACACGCGGGCUCUGACGGACAAAGACGUGUAAAGAACUACAUUCAUGAUCUCAUCACCUGCAGAGCUCGUAUCGCAGGUGCUAAAAGUUGUCCUCGUUUUACUGUCGGCUUCUACUUGUACAGAAGAGUGGGCUUCUUACUCCCUUACUUUCAAAAUUAUUAAGCACAUUAUUUUAAGGAGAACGCAAUGGGAACUGGACUUUCCCUUGCUAAAUAUUUACCUGGCAAACUCUCCGUGAAGACAACAAUACCUCUUUUAAAAGGUAAGCAAAUACUUCACUCUGCACUUCUAGAGAUGACGACGAACUGUAUCUUUAUGCAAAGGAAGUGUCUCGAGUUUCAAGCUCAGCCCUGAAUUAGGCUUUGUUUUUAAUGAGUGGGAGAGCAGGGAGCAAGGCUUGCUUGCUUCUUUUUCUCUGAACGAGGCCUGCCUGUCAGACAGCUCUGCACCUCCAGCCCCUGCAGGUGACAGCUCCGCUUGAACGAUUCAGAGCAGUUUGUGCUCCCACCGACCACUCCGCAGAGGCUCAAGGAGUAAUUCUGCAUUCAAGAAAAUGUGCUCUGCAUGCAUCCGCAGCACAGCCAGCCUGUCUCAGCAGAAACGAGUGAGGAAAAACAAGCUCUUUUAUCAAGGGUACUUAUAAAAAGGUAGCAGGUAAGGAGGGUGAUAAAUUCAAAAGCAUCACUUUCAGAGACAUGAGUAGUACUGGGUGUUUACCAGAGUCUCUUUCCAAAUUAAACUCGACUAUUUACAUUCUGGCUAAACAAGUCUCAUCCUGGUAUUACCUCCUCUGGUUAUUCCUGGUCAUUUUUUCCCCAAGCAAUAAGAUGACCCUAAAAUUUAGACAGAAGCUGGUUGAUCCACUUGUGCACGUCACUCUGAAGAUGCUGAGAAAUAAAUUUACUUUGCAAAGGGCACAGGAAUCCCCCAAGAAAAUGAGUUGCUAGAUGCUUCUUACCCCUUAAGUCUCCUACUAACAGUUAAUCUCAUUUAAAAAAAUGAGCACCCAAAUCCCAGUGUAAUUUUUCCUUUUUUUCCUAGUUUUUCAAUCUAACCAUGCUCACAUAUCCUUGAUUUUUUUAGAGUGCUCCAUCCCCACAGGAGAUGCUGAGAACUAUGGAAGGCAUACAGGAACGAUAUAGUUUCCAGUCAGGUCUUUAAUGUAAACAUUUAAGGGCGCCUCCCUCUUCCAUGUUUAACUCGUGCGUCAGAGGGAUUAGCAAGUGGCACAAGUUUUCAGAUACCCAGACAGAUUUAUGGAGCGGAGGGGAAGGCUCUCACCCUGCUUGUUUCUGUAGCCCAGCCCAGCUCUGGGCCAUGCCCUGCACAACAGCGGCUGCCGGGCAGCCCCGUCCCCACAGCCUAAGUAUUUGGCCCUGCUGGGGAAUGAGAAAGCUCAAUUAAAAAAAAAAAAAAAAAAGCUUGUUACUGCCAGGACACUGGGAGCUCUCAAGAACGGAGCACGGAGCAUCUUCUGUCACAUCCCCCGGCUCUAACACCGCCUCUCAGCUCGUGGGUACCACAGAUGGGCAACCGCAAGGGUACGUGCUUGGCCCGAACCACGACGUGUCCCACAUGCUAAUGUUCCCUGUGCACUUGGUGACCUGUUUAUAUCAUACAGAGCUACCACAAAAAGCUACAGCACAGCUGAAGGGAAGCAAGCCGAUUGCAUUUCCAGUGCCCACUGAGAGAAUACACCUUACCAAUGAAGGUCUGCUUCCGCCUGCAGUACAGCUUGCACUUAGCUCCCUUUCCUGCAAUCAUUAACUAGGAACAAAUGUUCUUCCAGCGUCGUGGCAAGAGCUCUUGGUCACCAGCCCUUCUUUUAAAGCUACAAAAUUCUGCCUGCCACCAGCUCAGCCGGCAGUGGAACCACCGAAACACAUCUGCUGACGAGCAGAGGGAAAAAGUCUUCCUCUGCACAGGGGAAAAAAAAGAAAUCUAUUUUUCAUUUGUGUCUCUUCCUCAGUAAAAGAAAGAGAGAAGAUAAUGGAAUUAUAAGUAGGUGAUUCAGCAACUGCAUAAUGUGCAGCUUGGAGGGACUUACAUUAUUGGGAUCAAAGACAUAUUGCGCAUCUUAAUUGGACCAAUUAAACUGGCAACACUGCACGAUCCCUUGCCUCCACAGUGUUGACUUAGUGCCUGUUUUUCUUCUCUGCUCAGUGAAAGAAGGAAUAACCAUGUUUGUUCUAGUUUCCAGAGUCAGCUGCCCCAGCUCGGGACACAGAAAUUUAUGCACAUUUAAUAGGAUAUGGGUCUGCAGACAGCUCGCCUGCAAGGUAACAGCCAAAGCAAGAGCGAACAGCGAGCGCUGGUCUGCACCAGUGCCUGGAGGACACGGCUGGCGUGCAGCAGGAGCUUUGGAGGAGGGUUAUACGCGAUGAAUCCCAUUUAUGAGUCACUUCAAAACUCAGGGAAGAUAAAAGCAUCACCACAACCUUGCGGCGUUUUUCUUCCCCGUAACUGUUCUGUCCUCUCCGUUCGAGACCCUCGAAAAAAAAGGUGUGAAGACUUCACUCGAAA